rnacentral:rRNA from 1 species
UACGUAGGGUGCAAGCGUUAAUCGGAAUUACUGGGCGUAAAGCGUGCGCAGGCGGUUGUGCAAGACAGAUGUGAAAUCCCCGGGCUUAACCUGGGAACUGCAUUUGUGACUGCACGGCUAGAGUGUGUCAGAGGGGGGUAGAAUUCCACGUGUAGCAGUGAAAUGCGUAGAUAUGUGGAGGAAUACCGAUGGCGAAGGCAGCCCCCUGGGAUAACACUGACGCUCAUGCACGGAAGCGUGGGGAGCAAACAGG